UACGGAGGGAGCUAGCGUUGUUCGGAAUUACUGGGCGUAAAGCGCGCGUAGGCGGCUUUGUAAGUUAGAGGUGAAAGCCCGGGGCUCAACCCCGGAACUGCCUUUAAAACUGCAUCGCUUGAAUCCGGGAGAGGUGAGUGGAAUUCCGAGUGUAGAGGUGAAAUUCGUAGAUAUUCGGAAGAACACCAGUGGCGAAGGCGGCUCACUGGACCGGCAUUGACGCUGAGGUGCGAAAGCGUGGGGAGCGAACAGG
rnacentral:rRNA from 1 species